ACCGGUUUGGCUCAGUGGAUAGAGCGUUGGCCUGCUGACUCAAGGGUCCCAGGUUCAAUUCCAGUCGGCG
rnacentral:tRNA from 1 species